AACGAACGCUGGCGGCAUGCCUAACACAUGCAAGUCGAACGAGACCUUCGGGUCUAGUGGCGCACGGGUGCGUCACGCGUGGGAACCUGCCCUCAGGUUCGGAAUAACUCCCCGAAAGGGGUGCUAAUACCGGAUAAUGUCUUCGGACCAAAGAUUUAUCGCCUUUGGAUGGGCCCGCGUUGGAUUAGCUAGGUGGUAGGGUAAAAGCCUACCAAGGCGACGAUCCAUAGCUGGGCUGAGAGGAUGAUCAGCCACACUGGGACUGAGACACGGCCCAGACUCCUACGGGAGGCAGCAGUGGGGAAUAUUGGACAAUGGGCGAAAGCCUGAUCCAGCAAUGCCGCGUGAGUGAUGAAGGCCUUAGGGUUGUAAAGCUCUUUUACCCGGGAUGAUAAUGACAGUACCGGGAGAAUAAGCUCCGGCUAACUCCGUG
rnacentral:rRNA from 1 species